rnacentral:rRNA from 1 species
GACGAACGCUGGCGGCGUGCUUAACACAUGCAAGUCGAACGGAAAGGCCCUGCUUUUGUGGGGUGCUCGAGUGGCGAACGGGUGAGUAACACGUGAGUAACCUGCCCUUGACUUUGGGAUAACUUCAGGAAACUGGGGCUAAUACCGGAUAGGAGCUCCUGCUGCAUGGUGGGGGUUGGAAAGAUUCGGCGGUUGGGGAUGGACUCGCGGCUUAUCAGCUUGUUGGUGGGGUAGUGGCUUACCAAGGCUUUGACGGGUAGCCGGCCUGAGAGGGUGACCGGCCACAUUGGGACUGAGAUACGGCCCAGACUCCUACGGGAGGCAGUAGUGGGGAAUAUUGCACAAUGGGCGGAAGCCUGAUGCAGCAACGCCGCGUGCGGGAUGACGGCCUUCGGGUUGUAAACCGCUUUCGCCUGUGACGAAGCGUGAGUGACGGUAAUGGGUAAAGAAGCACCGGCUAACUACGUG